AGUGAACGCUGGCGGUAGGCCUAACACAUGCAAGUCGAACGGCAGCACAGUAAGAGCUUGCUCUUACGGGUGGCGAGUGGCGGACGGGUGAGGAAUACAUCGGAAUCUACUUUUUCGUGGGGGAUAACGUAGGGAAACUUACUCUCAUACCGCAUACGCCCUACGGGUGAAAGCAUGGGAUCUUCGGACCUUGCGCGAUUGAAUGAGCGGAUGUCGGGUUUGCUAGUUGGCGGGGUAAAGGCCCACCAAGGCGACGAUCCGUAGCUGGUCUGAGAGACUGAUCGGCCACACUGGAACUGAGACACGGUCCAGACUCCUACGGGACGCAGCAGUGGGGAAUAGUGGACAAAGGGCGCAAGCCUGAUCCAGCGAUACCGCGUGGGUGAAGAAGGCCUUCGGGUUGUAAAGCCCUUUUGUUGGGAAAGAAAAGCAGCAGGUUAAUACCACGCUGUUCUGACGGUACCCAAUGAAUAAGCACCGGCUAACUUCGUG
rnacentral:rRNA from 1 species